AUGGUUCCCGUCUCCUUCCUCGAGCUUUCACUCUCCUUGGUCUUCCUCGUCGUCCUCUACUACCUCCACCUGAGGUCCAGGCGCAAGAACCCAGCGAUCCCGCUGGACUGGCCGCUGGUGCGCAUGCUGCCGUCUCUCCUCGGCAGUCUCCCGCGCCUCCACGACUGGGCCACCUCCCUCCUCAGCGUCAGCGAUCUCAACUUCCGCAUCAUCGGCCCGCCGCACUCGGGGAUGCAGCUCUUCUUAACCUCCGAUCCUGCCAACGUCCGCCACGUCUUCACCUCCAACUUCCCCAACUACCCCAAGGGCCCCGACUUCGCCGAGAUCAUGGACAUCCUCGGCGGUGGCAUCUUCAACGCCGACGGCGACUCCUGGCGCCACCAGCGCGCUAAGGCGCAGCUGCUCAUGUCCGGACCCCGGUUCCGGGCCUUUGUGUCCCAGUGCAGCCGCCGCAAGGUGGAGAGUGACCUACUCCCGCUGCUCGCCCACGUCGCCGCCGCCGGCACCGGCGAGUGUGACCUCAUGGACGUGUUCCUCAGGCUGACAUUCGACAUGACGACCACGCUGGUGUUCGGCGUCGACCCAGGCUGCCUGGCCAUUGGCUUCCCGGAGGUGCGGUUUGCGCGUGCUAUAGACGACGCCAUGGACGUACUCCUCAUCCGCAAUGUACUCCCGCUGUCGUGGUGGAAGCUGGUGCGGUGGCUCGGGGUAGGGUACGAGAGGAAGAUGGCGGUGGCGCAGCGCGAGAUCGACCGGUUCAUUGGCGACACGAUCGCCAAGAGGCGUGAGGCGGUUAAAGCUAGAGGCGGAAACGAGGACUCGGACACGACGGACCUGCUCUCCUCCUACAUCGACGACGAUGAUGCUGGCAUGACUGUGGACGUCUUCCUCCGCGACACGACCAUGAACCUUAUGCUCGCUGGCGACACGACUGGCUCGGCGCUGUCCUGGUUCUUCUAUCUCCUCACCAAGAACCCGCACGUGGAGUCCAAGAUCUUGGAAGAGCUCGACACCAUCAAGGCCACCACCACCACCGUGGACGGCAAUGGCAUGGCAACCUACGACCCGGAUGAGCUGAGCCGGCUCGUGUACCUGCAUGCCGCCCUGUGCGAGGCUCUCCGGCUAUACCCUCCGGUGCCGUUCGAGCACAAGGGCGUGGUGGCGGUGGAGACGCUGCCGAGCGGACACGAGGUGCGGCCGGGGGACAAGAUCAUCGUGUCGCUGUACGCGAUGGGGAGAAUGGAGGCCGUGUGGGGCGAGGACUGCCGGGACUUCCGGCCGGAACGGUGGAUCUGCGAGGACGGCAAGCCGCGGUACAUGCCGUCGUACAAGUUCGUGUCCUUCAACACCGGGCCACGGACCUGCCUCGGCAAGGACAUGGCGUUCGUGCAACUCAAGGUGGUGGCGGCCACCGUGGUGCGGAACUUCUUGGUGGAGGACGUGCCGGGGCAUGUCGUCGAGCCCAACGUCUCCAUCAUUCUCCACAUGAAGAACGGCUUCAAGGCCAAGAUCAAGAGGAGGCAGGUGAUGAACAAUUGA
rnacentral:rRNA from 1 species